CUGAGGCCUCCCAGGCACACUCCCAGCUCCAGCCUCGGAUGUGCACAUUCAGAGAGGAGAUGGUGAGGGCUACUGAGAUUUUUUAAACCACUCACAGCAAAUACUUCUAUCUCCAAGUGUAAGCACUACUGUCCCAAACUCAGGACAACAGCACUCAGUGUGACGUGGGAGCUCCUGAGAUGUAUGGAACUGUCAUGGGCAGGUAAAAGAUUAACAGAAAGGGCUCUCUUUUGAUUGAUGAAUCUGUGACCUUGAGCAACCAGAGCACUUGCACCAAGUAUAUCUGCCAUGUGAGACAGACAAAAUGAAAGAGGAUCAUGUUACACUCUCAGAUCUCAUUAAGCACCCAGACCAGAAACACCGAUACUGGCACUGGCCAUCUGCUCUGCUGUUUGCCUGGUUACAGGUCUGAUAACACUUUCAGAGAGCAAAAGUUAAUCAGAUGUACAGAUGAGCAACAGCACUGCUGCACAGGAAAGCCAGUGGAACAUAACAGUUUCUAAAAAAAACAACCCCACAUACCUGUUUUUAUUUCAUUCUGCUCUUUCAAACCACAAAAGCUGCCAGUUAAAAAAAAAAUGUUGAGAUAAAAAGCUGUAACUUUAAGCUCUUCAAAUAUUGCUGGUUUUUUAUUAAUAAACUGUAAAGUCAUAAUAAAGCUCACUAACUUGAAAUCUGC